UACGUAGGGGGCAAGCGUUGUCCGGAUUCAUUGGGCGUAAAGAGCGUGUAGGCGGCCAGGUAGGUCGGUUGUGAAAACUGGAGGCUCAACCUUCAGAGGUCGACCGAAACCAUCUGGCUAGAGUCCGGGAGAGGAGAGUGGAAUUCCCGGUGUAGCGGUGAAAUGCGCAGAUAUCGGGAGGAACACCUAUGGCGAAGGCAGCUCGCUGGGACGUUACUGACGCUGAGACGCGAAAGCGUGGGGAGCAAACAGG
rnacentral:rRNA from 1 species